GAUGAACGCUAGCGGCAGGCUUAAUACAUGCAAGUCGAGGGGUAGCAAGAUUGUAGCAAUACAAUUGUUGACGACCGGCAAACGGGUGCGGAACACGUACACAACCUUCCUACAAGUGGGGAAUAGCCCAGAGAAAUUUGGAUUAAUACCCCGUAACAUAGCGAUGUGGCAUCACAUUGCUAUUAUAGCUUCGGCGCUUGUUGAUGGGUGUGCGGCUGAUUAGAUAGUUGGCGGGGUAACGGCCCACCAAGUCUACGAUCAGUAGCUGAUGUGGGAGCAUGAUCAGGCACAGAGGCACUGAGACACGGGCCCGACUCCUACGGGAGGCAGCAGGAAGGAAUAUUGGAAAAUGGACGCAAGUCUGAUCCAGCCAUGCCGCGUGAAGGAUUAAGGUCCUCUGGAUUGUAAACUUCUUUUAUAAGGGACGAAAAAAGGUCUUUCUAGAUCGUCUGACGGUACCUUAUGAAUAAGCACCGGCUAACUCCGUGCCAGCCGCCGCGGUAAUAC
rnacentral:rRNA from 1 species